rnacentral:rRNA from 1 species
AAGUCGAACGAAGUAGCAAUACUUAGUGGCAGACGGGUGAGUAACAUGUAGGUAUCUUCCCUUUGGUGAGGAAUAACACGAGGAAACUUGUGCUAAUACCUCAUAAGUCUUUACGGAGAAAGCUUUAUGCGCCGAAGGAUGAGCCUGCACUUGAUUAGUUUGUUGGUGGGGUAAUGGCCUACCAAGACUUUGAUCUAUAGCUGAUCUGAGAGGAUGAUCAGCCACAUUGGGACUGAGACGCGGCCCAAACUCCUACGGGAGGCAGCAGUAGGGAAUAUUGCACAAUGGAGGAAACUCUGAUGCAGCGAUGCCGCGUGAGUGAAGAAGGCCUUUGGGUUGUAAAGCUCUUUCGUCGGGGAAGAAAAUGACUGUACCCGAAUAAGAAGGUCCGGCUAACUUCGUGCCAGCAGCCGCGGUAAUACGAAGGGACCUAGCGUAGUUCGGAAUUACUGGGCUUAAAGAGUUCGUAGGUGGUUAAAAAAGUUGGUGGUGAAAUCCCAGAGCUUAACUCUGGAACUGCCAUCAAAACUUUUUAGCUAGAGUAUGAUAGAGGAAAGCAGAAUUUCUAGUGUAGAGGUGAAAUUCGUAGAUAUUAGAAAGAAUACCAAUUGCGAAGGCAGCUUUCUGGAUCCUUACUGACACUGAGGAACGAAAGCAUGGGUAGCGAAGAGGAUUAGAUACCCUCGUAGUCCAUGCUGUAAACGAUGUGUGUUAGGCGUUGGAAAUUUAUUUUUCAGUGUCGCAGCGAAAGCAUUAAACACACCGCCUGGGGAGUACGACCGCGAGGUUAAAACUCAAAUGAAUUGACGGGGACCCGCACAAGUAGUGGAGCAUGUGGUUUAAUCCGAAGAUACGCGCAGAACCUUACCAACACUUGACAUGUUCGUCGCGACUCUAAGAGAUUAGAGUUUUCGGUUCGGCCGGACGAAACACAGGUGCUGCAU